GAUGAACGCUGGCGGCGUGCCUAAUACAUGCAAGUCGAGCGAACAGACGAGGAUCUUGCUCCUCUGACGUUAGCGGCGGACGGGUGAGUAACACGUGUAUAACCUACCUAUAAUACUGGUAUAACUUCGGGAAACCGGAGCUAAUACCGUAUAACAUGUUGAACCGCAUGGUUCAACAGUGAAAUACGGUCUUGCUGUCACUUCUAGAUGGAUCCGCGCCGCAUUAGCUAGUUGGUAAGGUAACGGCUUAUCAAGGCAACGAUGCGUAGCCGACCGGAGAGGGGGAUCGGCCACACUGGAACUGAGCCACGGUCCAGAGUCCUACGGGAGGGAGCAGUAGGCAAUCUGCCGCAAUGGGCGAAAGCCUGACGGAGCAACGCCGCGUGAGUGAAGAAGGUCCUGGGAUCGUAAAACUGUGUUAUUAGGGAAGAACAAAUGUGUAAGUAACUAUGGACGUAUUGACGGUACCUAAUAAGAAAGCAACGGCUAACUACGUG
rnacentral:rRNA from 1 species